UGGUGAAGUGAGCAAUCUCAUCUGUAAAGGAGGAUUUCCCGAGAACCUAGAAUUUGACUGUAUUCAUCUCUGUAACAAGAGCUGGGCACAAUCUGUGCCCAUCCCAGGAAUCACUGGGUGGACACUGUGGCAUCCAUCCUCAGUCUGGAAUCUGUGCCUUCUUUCUGGUUUUUCUGGAGUGAUCAAGAAGGGAAAGGAAGGAAGAGGAUGUACUCUGUGAUGAAAAGGACGGACAUGCUGCAACAGACUGUGCAGGACUAAAGCUGCUGCAAGGCAAAGAGAGAGAAGUGAGGUCUGCACUCCACCAACUGAGGAAAUACACAAGGAGAAAGUCCUGAGAGCAGGCAGCUGUGAUCCAGAUGUUUUCCAACAGGCAAAUGAAAAAAGCUCAAAAAGUAAGCUAUAACUACCCCACCCCCAACCCCCACAGUGCAAAAGAACAACCUUAGUGCUCUGGCUUAGCAUGAGAAGACGUGCGAAUGAUUGCGUGGGGGCCUGGGAAAGCCAGGCCCGGGAGGCCCUCUCAAGCUCUCAAGCCAAUAUGUAUCUUCCUUGCCACUUCUUCACAGAAAGAUGAUGUUUUAAAAAAAGGAUUUACCCUUCCCAAAGUCACCCUGUUUCGGGGACCCUCUCCCCCUCUCCUGGAUAGUUUAAACCCAUAUAAUGAUUCUAUCCCCAAAUGGAAGGAAUAUAUUCAUCUUCUUUUAGAUAUAGUCCUGCCUUGGGUUCUGGGACGAGCGGCCACUUGCUACAAGCUUGACAACGGCAUCCACAUGAAGUGGCCAGAGUGACUGUUCAUGAAGGGAACCACAGAGAGAUGGAAUCCUGCCACACCGGAGCAGCCUACCCUGCGCUUCCUAUCUAAGCCCCAUUGAAUUAGAGCUUUCGUGUCCAUAGCCCCAGAGAACCCCGACUAACGAGGAGGCCUGCUACCUCUCAGAGGGUCUUAGGAAGGGUGUACUUGGUCUCCGCAACAGUAUCCUCCUGGUCCAAGAGUUUUACAAAGCAAGAUCUGAAAUCUUUGUCUGUCUCAGAGUCCUAUUCAUUUCCCCUAGAACCUGAUUUUCUUUCUAUUUCGUUUUUGGUUUAGGGAUGAGAGUAAAGAAAGCAAGUUGGGGACUUUCUCUAAGGAGCCCCAGUAUUAAGUGGAAAAUAGAGAAACUUACUUUUCCAAAAGUGCAGGCAGCACCGGGGGGACGGAUAUGUUGCUUUUUCCGUUGGGUGAUUCAGACUGGAUGGAAAAGAGGAGCCAGAACUGAGGGUUCAAUUUGCCCAGAAAUUAUCAGAAAAGUAUCUUCAAGAGUCUCCACAGCUUGCAGCGCUGCUGCAACCACGCACACUUUUCCUGUGAGGAAGGAGGGAAGAUUCUGCGUCCACCCAGGGUGCAGGGCGAAACAGGCAAGCCUCCGUGUUUGCUUCUCUGCUGGCUGGUGGGGAUUCCUGGUGUGACAAGCUGUUUUCUCCAGCUAUCCACCCUCCUGGACCAGACUCCAAGCCCUGGCAGCACCCAGGGAGAGAUUCCAGUCCAAUGCACUGUCAUUUCCCUGCUGGGCUGAGCAAGAGCUUCUGAGCUCACCCUUCCCUACUUCAGCUUUGACCCCUACUAAUGCAUUGCGCUUGCCGAAGUCAGAGUAGCACAAAAAGAAAAUGUGGACAUGUCAUGUGACAUGCUCCCUACCAACUCCCUGUUCCUACCAGACAAAGGCCUAGUUGCUAGUGUGUCCUGGAAGAUGGCCUUGGUCUGCCAGGUCUUAUGUUCAGCCUCUCAAUGUUACCCCAGCCACACAGGUCAUUUCAUCCUGUUCCCAUCCCCCACCUCCACACCUUUACACACCCUGCUUCCUCCACCCGUUUGCUGACUUCCUCCUCCCAUUUUUACUGUAAAGCCCUGCAGAGAUGACCUCCCUCGAUGUAUCCAUCCUUGACUCCCUUGAGCAGAAUCAGGUGGCCUUUCUCUGUCUCCUUACACCCAUUUGCAUGGAACUUUUAAGACAUUAAGAAAAGAAUCGCUGGAGUAUGUGUCUUACCCACGCCACAUCUGUGUUUGUCUCCACAAUAGCUCACCUAGCUAGACUCUCAUUGUGCCCCGCCGCCCGGACUCCCUCCCUCCCCUGGACUGGUGCAAUAUCCUCACAAACACAGAAUAUUUUCUGGCUCUGCUCUUUUGGGUGACUGGAAAACUUAAACAUCCUUUGACUGAAAUGCUUGAACAUUUCCGCUGGACACAAUGAAAUAAGCAGUCUCAUGAGUCUGAGGCCAGUCUGGACUAAGAAUGCUGAUUUGCUCCAGUUCUGUAACUGAUGUACUACACUUCAAGGAUGCUGCUUCAGCAGGAACAUGCUCAUCCACUUCCCUGAAGGAAAUCCUUGAAUCCCUGGUGCUUUCCAGAAUAAAACCCAGAUUUCUUAGCCGGUUCUCCACAUACUGCAUCAUGACCUCCGUUGCCUUCGACAUACGCUUUUCCUGCAGGGAAGAGGACACACAGGAACAGCUGAAGAAAGGGCACCGUCCACACUUGACCGCUCUGAGCUCAGUCCUGGGCUGCCA